rnacentral:rRNA from 1 species
ACACUCCUACGGGAGGCAGCAGUGGGGAAUUUUGGACAAUGGGCGAAAGCCUGAUCCAGCAAUGCCGCGUGAGUGAAGAAGGCCUUCGGGUUGUAAAGCUCUUUUGUCAGGGAAGAAACGGUGAGAGCUAAUAUCUCUUGCUAAUGACGGUACCUGAAGAAUAAGCACCGGCUAACUACGUGCCAGCAGCCGCGGUAAUACGUAGGGUGCAAGCGUUAAUCGGAAUUACUGGGCGUAAAGCGUGCGCAGGCGGUUUUGUAAGUCUGAUGUGAAAUCCCCGGGCUCAACCUGGGAAUUGCAUUGGAGACUGCAAGGCUAGAAUCUGGCAGAGGGGGGUAGAAUUCCACGUGUAGCAGUGAAAUGCGUAGAUAUGUGGAGGAACACCGAUGGCGAAGGCAGCCCCCUGGGUCAAGAUUGACGCUCAUGCACGAAAGCGUGGGGAGCAAACAGGAUUAGAUACCCCUGUAGUCCCAUGA